rnacentral:lncRNA from 1 species
AAAUUAGAAUCCAAGGAAGUUGACAUGUCAUCACUUCAUUUUUUUGCGCCUGCGCAUAAAUCUGAGAAACGUGAGUUUUGUCUUCAUUGUUUAUCUCGACAUAGGAUAGGUUGUGUGAAAAUAUUACUGAUGUUUAACGUUAAAAAUGGACCAAAAGAUUAAUGCUAAACAACAUUUGACAUGUUUGAACGAACAUAAAUAGAUUAUUUACUCGUUUUUUUUUAGCUUUUCGGCGUGAUUUUACAGUCCCCCACCACGUUUUGUGGGAGCAUAAUGAACGCUAAGUACUUGGUGUUAUUUGGACAUAAAUUAUGAACUUUGUCAAAAGAAACCACAUUUGUUCCGGACCUGGGAUGCCUUCCGGACCUGGGAUGCCUGUCUUCUGAUGGAGAUAAUCAAAGGUAAGAUGUACCUGACCCAGAAGACUAUCGUUGAGGGGUAGGGGUCAAAGAGGAACCUCUGAUGGGCAUUGGGGCAGUGAUGGACUGCCUUCAGGGGCGAAAAUCUGAUAUCAACUUUGGAGGGGACAAUUACAUUAAAUUUUCUCAAGAGCAAUUCCUGAGGGGGACACCAAAAGUAGUGCUGUAACACAUAGCCUACAUUGUAAUAUGGUAAAUGUAUAUUGAGGAACCCAAAAAAUAAGGUGUUUGCUGUACUCCUAACUACCGGUACCCAAAACUACACAACUAAUCACAACAGCAAUACCAUUGCCUUUAACAAAUCUUAGUUCAGUCACCAGUUUAAGUUGAAAGUGGGGGUAUCCAUGGCAUUUUCCAAUUAUGUUCCUAUUUUACAAGUCAAAAAAAUUGAGAACCUUUCAUAAUGUUGCCAAACAAAGACUCAACAAACUUACCUGAGACUCCCUGUCUCUGCCAGUCUGUCCCUGCAUAUCUGUCCCCAACUCUGCUGUCUGUGUGCCAUCUGUUGCCUGCUCUGCCUAAUGACAUCAUUGUGAAACAUUUCCAUUAGAAUUUAAUUUCUUUCUUAUGAACAUUUUAUCAACUAGUCUUUGAGAUAUUAGCCUACUAGGGUUCUUACUUUGCGUUUUGGUGUACUGAAAAAUACUCUGAUGUCCGUCUUUUAUUUUUCUGACAUUUUUCUACCUGGCUGGCUGGCUACACACACACACACACAGUGUGUAGGUUAUUUACAGCAGGAGAUGGGCUUCUAUCAUCUUAUCUUUUAUCAUUCAAUUUGGGCUUCGAUCUAAAAGGUAGCUAGCAAAUGUGAAACGGAUUAAAAUGACAAGAGUUGACAGCUGUAUGAGUUCACCAUUUACACAACAUAUGCUGCAACCUUUUGUAAUUUUAAUAGUUUGUUUCAUAUUGGCUGGCUUCCAACAAUAGCUGAAUUUGCAAAGCUAGCGAGCACCAAUUCCGUUUCAGUGGUGUUUGCUAUAAUCUUUUCUACCCGGGUUUAAUAAAGGUGAAAUAAAAUAAAUAAAUAAAAGUUCCCUUGCGACAAUUUAGCUUUUGCAACGAGACCAUUAAAUAUAUUUAAGACAAUGGUAGAAGAGAGUGUAGUUCUGUUCAGUUUGGACUUCAGUUUAUCGCUAACCUUAUCACAGGGACUUUGAAGCACUAACUUACAUCAUCUGCAUGCUGAUCUUGGAAUAAAUUGACGAUAGCAAAGAUUCCAUCUUUGACGAGGCCACAUAAAUGGAAUAGGUACUAGCUAGCUUAAUAGUUAAUAUUUGCCCGCUAGCUCUGCAUAUUCAGCUAGUGUGUGUGCGCGAUUGACUGGAUUAACCUCACGUCAGUUACGUUCAUUGAGUGCCUUUCAGACAGUGGAUACGACCCCUCUGUUACCUUGCCAAAUAAGGAACUGGCAGUGGAUCAAACCAUUGUGAGGCAAAGGGUGGGGGGGUCGCAAUCUUUUGAAACUUAAAAACGCGCUAUUAAGUGUCUAUAAUCAGCACAAUUGCUUUCAUUGCAUAUUAUUAAUAUUAUUUAAAUGACAUAGGGGGGGACAAAUCAUAUUUUUCCCAGGAUAGGGGGGUCGUGUCCCCCCCCGUCCCCCCCCGGGAUUUCCGCCCCUGAGUUUGCCUUAAAACGACAGGAAACGGUGUCUAAGAAACCAUGGCAGACGGAGCACUGAACCUCAACCUAACUUCACUUUCCACACAGAAGCUUAAUUUCCCACAACCUUUGGAUGGAUAUGGGGGAAAGCAUUGUGGGAGGCACCUAGAUUCAAAGUAUAAUACAGAUCUACGAGGUGGGAAUAUGGAAGAUGUGAGGGGUUGGUUGAUUUCCGACUGGGCAACUGUCCUGCGUCGAUUACUAUUGUUCUUGGUCACUAUAUACCCUCUCUUCACCAUAGUAUAUUCCGCUUUUCACGUUUCUUUUGUGAGCCGUAAUGGUGCAACAGACAGUGUACAGACAGCCUUGAUUCCUUUGUUAUAUUUUUGCCAGUCUUUUAAUUGUGUAUUG